CCUUUGAGUUUGGUUCUGGCUCAGAUUGAACGCUGGCGGCAGGCUUAACACAUGCAAGUCGAGCGGAGUGAUGGUGCUUGCACUAUCACUUAGCGGCGGACGGGUGAGUAAUGCUUAGGAAUCUGCCAUUUAGUGGGGGACAACAUUCCGAAAGGAAUGCUAAUACCGCAUACGUCCUACGGGAGAAAGCAGGGGAUCUUCGGACCUUGCGCUAAAUGAUGAGCCUAAGUCGGAUUAGCUAGUUGGUGGGGUAAAGGCCUACCAAGGCGACGAUCUGUAGCGGGUCUGAGAGGAUGAUCCGCCACACUGGGACUGAGACACGGCCCAGACUCCUACGGGAGGCAGCAGUGGGGAAUAUUGGACAAUGGGCGGAAGCCUGAUCCAGCCAUGCCGCGUGUGUGAAGAAGGCCUUUUGGUUGUAAAGCACUUUAAGCGAGGAGGAGGCUACCUGGAUUAAUACUCUAGGAUAGUGGACGUUACUCGCAGAAUAAGCACCGGCUAACUCUGUGCCAGCAGCCGCGGUAAUACAGAGGGUGCGAGCGUUAAUCGGAUUUACUGGGCGUAAAGCGUGCGUAGGCGGCUUUUUAAGUCGGAUGUGAAAUCCCCGAGCUUAACUUGGGAAUUGCAUUCGAUACUGGGAAGCUAGAGUAUGGGAGAGGAUGGUAGAAUUCCAGGUGUAGCGGUGAAAUGCGUAGAGAUCUGGAGGAAUACCGAUGGCGAAGGCAGCCAUCUGGCCUAAUACUGACGCUGAGGUACGAAAGCAUGGGGAGCAAACAGGAUUAGAUACCCUGGUAGUCCAUGCCGUAAACGAUGUCUACUAGCCGUUGGGGCCUUUGAGGCUUUAGUGGCGCAGCUAACGCGAUAAGUAGACCGCCUGGAUACGCCAAAU
rnacentral:rRNA from 1 species